CGUUUUGUUGGAGUUGUGGGCCGACAAACAGGCUGAAUUUAUCGGCCAGAGAAAAAUCUCUCACGUUUACAAGGAAAUUGCAGAGAAUUUUGUGGAAUAUACUCCAGAAGAAAUUAAAGUGAAAAUUCACAACUUAUCGAAUCGAAUUUAUUAUUAAUUCACUAACAGAAAGGAAAAGAAAUUGGUUGGCCCUUCUGAAGGUUCUCCGUCUCAAUGGGGUCUGUAUUUGCAAAUAAAUGCAAUACUGGGAGAAAGACCCCUGAGUAACCUUGAAAAUCUACAAGAGGACAUCCAUAUGGAAUCAAUUUACUCCACUGAAGAUUCAUCUCAAAACUCAUUGCCACUGCCGUUGUUUCGUCGGCUGCUUUGUCCGCGUCAACUUCAACCGCUGCUUCAUCCACUACUCCUGCUGCAUUAUCCAGUCCGGAUGUUCCAUGUUCAACAAAUUCAACAGCUGGAAAAAAGAGGUAGGGAAUUCAAAGGGAUGAGGAAUUUCAAAAGCAGGAUGAAAUAAUAUUGGAAAAUUUCAAACUAAUAAGAGAAACUGAUGAAAAUUGAUUUUGAUUGAGGAGAAAAGAAACGCAAUAUUGGAAAGAAUUGCAAAAUCUUGCGAAUCUCUUCAACAAGAUGUUGCACUUUCAACCCAGAGGAGUUUCUUGGGAUACAUUUAAUACUUAUUUGUAAUGUUUUUUAAUUAU